rnacentral:rRNA from 1 species
AACGAACGCUGGCGGCAGGCCUAACACAUGCAAGUCGAGCGCCCGCAAGGGAGCGGCGGACGGGUGAGUAACGCGUGGGAACGUGCCCUUUGCUACGGAAUAGCCUCGGGAAACUGAGAGUAAUACCGUAUGUGCCCUUCGGGGGAAAGAUUUAUCGGCAAAGGAUCGGCCCGCGUUGGAUUAGGUAGUUGGUGGGGUAAUGGCCUACCAAGCCGACGAUCCAUAGCUGGUUUGAGAGGAUGAUCAGCCACACUGGGACUGAGACACGGCCCAGACUCCGACGGGAGGCAGCAGUGGGGGAUCUUAGACAAUGGGCGCAAGCCUGAUCUAGCCAUGCCGCGUGAGCGAUGAAGGCCUUAGGGUUGUAAAGCUCUUUCGUGGGGGAAGAUAAUGACGGUACCCCAAGAAGAAGCCCCGGCUAACUCCGUGCCAGCCGCCGCGGUAAUAC